rnacentral:lncRNA from 1 species
GAAAGAACUCAGAGGUAUUGUGGUAGAGUUGAAUUUUCAAUUAUUUGGGGGUGACAAAAUUUUCUUUUGUCUCGAGUAUUACUUGAGGACAAGCAACAAGCUCAGUUUAGGAUUGUGAUCAGUCACCAUUUGUACUAUAGUUUUCAUAAUUCAUACGUCAAAAAUCCAAGUGAGUUGUAUAAUUUUGGUCUUUAUUAUUGAUCUUUUGAGUCAGUUUGUGCCAAGACAAUGUUUUUAUAGUUUGAGUUUCUUUUGACUAUUUUUACAUUUUUUUUG